rnacentral:rRNA from 1 species
UGGGGAAUAUUGGACAAUGGGCGAAAGCCUGAUCCAGCCAUGCCGCGUGUGUGAAGAAGGUCUUCGGAUUGUAAAGCACUUUACGUUGGGAGGAAGGGCAUUAACCUAAUACGUUAGUGUUUUGACGUUACCGACAGAAUAAGCACCGGCUAACUCUGUGCUAGCAGCCGCGGUAAUACAGAGGGUGCAAGCGUUAAUCGGAAUUACUGGGCGUAAAGCGCGCGUAGGUGGUUUGUUAAGUUGGAUGUGGAAUCCCCGGGCUCAACCAGGGAACUGCAGUCAAAACUGACUGACUAGAGUAUGGUAUAGGGUGGUGGAAUUUCCUGUGUAGCGGUGAAAUGCGGAGAUAUAGGAAGGAACACCAGUGGCGAAGGCGACCACCUGGACUAAUACUGACACUGAGGUGCGAAAGCGUGGGGAGCAAACA